rnacentral:rRNA from 1 species
GAUGAACGCUAGCGGGAGGCCUAACACAUGCAAGCCGAGCGGUAUUUGUCCUUCGGGACAGAGAGAGCGGCGUACGGGUGCGGAACACGUGUGCAACCUGCCUUUAUCUGGGGGAUAGCCUUUCGAAAGGAAGAUUAAUACCCCAUAAUAUAUCGAAUGGCAUCAUUCGAUAUUGAAAACUCCGGUGGAUAGAGAUGGGCACGCGCAAGAUUAGAUAGUUGGUGAGGUAACGGCUCACCAAGUCAGUGAUCUUUAGGGGGCCUGAGAGGGUGAUCCCCCACACUGGUACUGAGACACGGACCAGACUCCUACGGGAGGCAGCAGUGAGGAAUAUUGGACAAUGGGUGAGAGCCUGAUCCAGCCAUCCCGCGUGAAGGACUAAGGCCCUAUGGGUUGUAAACUUCUUUUAUACUGGGAUAAUCCUACUUACGUGUAAGUAGCUGAAGGUACAGUAUGAAUAAGCACCGGCUAACUCCGUG